ACCUCGACGUCGGCUCUUUGCCACCUAGAGUUGUAGUAUGUUCCAAGGGUUGGGUUGUUCGCCCAUUAAAACGGUACGUGAGCUGGGUUCAUAACGUCAUGAGACAGUUUAGUCCAUAUUCGGUAUGGGUGUUUAAGUAUUGAGGGGACCUUUCCCUAGUACGAAAAGACCAGGAAAGACGCACCUCUAGUCUGCCAGUUAUCGUGCCAACGGUAAACGCUGGGUAGCUAAGUGUGA
rnacentral:lncRNA from 1 species